UUCUUAUAAAAUUAAUAUAAGUAAAAUCUGCUCAAUGAUAUUUAAAUAGCCGCAGAAUUUUAACUGUGCUAAGGUAGCAUAAUCAUUUACCUUUUAAUUAAAGGUUUGUAUGAAAGAUUUUACAUUUAAAUUAUUUUUUUAUGAAAUUAAAUUAAAAUUUGACUAAAAAUAAAAAUAUUUUUAUAUUUAAAAAAGACGAUAAGACCCUAUUGAACUUAACUAAAGUUAAGCUGGGGAAGCUAGUUAAAUAUUAUUUUAAUAAUUAAAUUUAUAUAAAUUUCUGAAAACUCAAUUUGAAUAAGUUACCAUAGGGAUAACAGCGUAAUAAUUUUUAAAAGCUCUUAUUUAAAAAAAAGUUUACGACCUCGAUGUUGAAUUAAAUUUACUUUAAAACGCAAUAGUAUUAAAAGUAGGUCUGUUCGACCUUUAAAUUUUUACAU
rnacentral:rRNA from 1 species